rnacentral:lncRNA from 1 species
GAAAACACCGCUGUGAUCUGCGACCGACGUACGUCACGUGAUAAAUACGAAAAUAUUUUUUUAUUUUUCUGAAAUUGUAUGAAGCGCUCCAACACUAUCACCGUUUGCGUGCCGCACUUCUGCGGCCGAAGUUGAAAAUGGUCGGAUUAUGCGCUUUAAUUUCUGACAUAUCUCAUAUUUAAACAGGAAGUUUGGGCGGGAAAUAUCGAAGUUUAGUUCGGUCACAUGCUCCAUUAUUGUUGCCAGUCGGUUGCAAAGUACAGUAAUCUCUUUUUUUUUUAAACUGUCUUUUAAUCCUCCUUUUGUGGACCCACGGAAGAAAGAUGGAGGUUUGAAGGACUUCAUCUGAAAGACCUACUACACAGUAGGCACAGACCUACAGCAUUUAGACAUUCAAGUCCUAUUAAGCAUCUGGUCACAAGGGAUAUGAAGCUGGUUGCAGGGUUAGCCGUGGUGUGGCUGUGGGUUGCGGAGGCUGUGGAAAACUGCCCCAGUGCUUGUAAAUGUAGUCAGAAAUCCAGUACGGAAUAG